rnacentral:lncRNA from 1 species
AUUUUUUCCCCACCUGAGUUACAAAUUUUUUUUUUUUGAAACAGUCUCGCUCUGUCACCCAGGCUGGAGUGCAGUGGUGCGAUCUUGGCUCACUGCCAGCUCCACCUCUAGGGUUUUUAAGCAAUUCUCUGCCCCAGCCGCCCGAGUAGCUGGGAUUACAGGUGUGCACCACCACGCCCAGCUAAUUUUUUAAACUUUUAGUAGAGAUGGGGUUUCACCAUGCUGGCCAGGAUAGUCUUGAACUCCUGUCCUUCUGAUCCACCCACCUCGACCUCCCAAAGUGCAGGGAUUACAUGUGUGAGCCACUGCGCCUGGCCCCAGCCUGGAAAUAUUUUCUAAUUUCCCAUUUGAGUUCUUCUUUGACCCAUGGUUUAUUCAAUAGUGGGUUAAUUUCCAAACAUUUGAGUUUUUCCUAUUUUAUUUGUGGUUGAUUUCUAAUUUAAUUCCUCUGUGCUCAGAAAGCAUACUUUGUAUGAUUCUUUUAAAAUUCGUUGGAACUUGUUUUAGGACACAGCAGUUGGUCUGUGUUGGAAAAUGUAUCAUGUGCACUUAGGAGUAUUGGCGUAACUUUUUCUUUUUGUUUUUGAGAAGAGUUUUGCUCUUCUUGCCCAGGCUGGGGUGCAGUGGCACGAUCUCGGGUCACUCCGUCUUUUGGGUUCACACCAUUCUCCUGCCUCAGCCUCCCGAGGAGCUGGGAUUACAGCUGCCCGCCACCACGUCCAGCGAAUUUUUGUAUUUUUAGUAUAGAUGGGGUUUCGCCAUGUUGGCUAGGUCGGUCCUGAACUUCUGACCUCAGGUGAUCCACCCGACUCGGGCUCCCAAAGUGCCUGGAUUACAAGCUUGAGCCCCCAUGUGCAGCCUGAUAUGUGUAACUUCCUAUAAAUACCAUUCAGGUCAACAUGAUGAUACUGUUACUCAGAUCCCCCAUGUCUUCACUGAUGUGUUUGGUUUAUUGUUCCAAGAAUCGGAGACAGAGAGGUUAAAAUCUCCGACUAUGAUUGUGGGUUGUCUAUUGAUGUUUUUGGUCUAUUCUAAGAAUCGGAGAGAGAGAGGUUAAAAUCUCUGACGAUGAUUGUGGAUUGUCUAUUGAUGUUUUUGGUCUAUUAUUCUAAGAAUCGGAGAGAGAUUAAAAUCUCCAACUAUGAUUGUGGGUUGUCUAUUGAUGUUUUUGGUCUAUUGUUCUAAGAAUCAGAGAGAGAGAGAGGUUAAAAUCUCCGACUAUGAUUGUGGGUUGUCUUAUUGAUGUUUUUGGUCUAUUGUUCUAAGAAUUGGAGACAGAGAGGUUAAAAUCUCCGACUAUGAUUGUGGGUUGUCUAUUGAUGUUUUUGGUCUAUUGUUCUAAGAAUUGGAGAGAGAGAGGUUAAAAUCUCCUACUAUGAUUCUGGGUUGUCUAUUGAUGUUUUUGGUCUAUUGUUCUAAGAAUUGGAGAGAGAGAGGUUAAAAUCUCCAACUAUGAUUGUGGGUUGUCUAUAUAUGUAUGGUUUUUGCAGUCACUUUCUGCCUACUUGUGUUUUUUAUAUUUAAAGUGCAUCUUUUAGUUCAGUGUGAUGGCACAUGCCCCUAAUCCCAGCUAUUCUGGAGACUGAGGCAGGAGGAUCACUUGAGCCCAGGAGUUUGAGCAGUACUAGACUUUACCUUGGGCAAAAAGGCAAGACCCCAUCUCUUAAAAAACAAAUACAUAGACGGACAGACAGACACACACACCACAGUGCAUCUUUUGUAGACAGCAUGUAGUAAAUCUUGCUAAUUUGUCCAUUUUAGCAAUCUCUGCCUUUUAACUGGAGGGUUUAAUUCAUUAAUAUUUAAUAUAAUUAUCAUUAUGGGUAGAUGUAGGUAUGUUAAUAUUUAAUAUAAUUACUGUUAUGGGUAGAUGUAGGUAUGUUAAUCGUUUUCUGAUUGUCCCUUUGUAUACACACGCUGCCCUUUAUUUUUCAGUGAUUUUAGGUUCAUAGCAAAAUUGAGCAGUUAAGUACAAGGAGUUGUGCCUCCCCGCUGUGCCCACCCAGGCACAGCCUUACCCUCAGCAUCCC